UUUGACAGACUUGGCGUUCUUUGCAGAAGCUUUUAAAGAAUUUAGUGUUGUGGUUCAUGGAGAAAAGGUUCCACAUAGAAUUCUGGGCUGUUUCAAAUACGUUGAGUCAAAGAAUCAAAUGUUAUUUCACAAUACAAAAUCACUGAUGGCUGAGAACAAUAUCAUGGUACUCCAGGAAUUACUUAACAGCAGUCCGCCCCCGGACUUGUGUAAACUUUAUGGUUCACGUCUUAUGAAUAAAUUUAAAAUUGCUCAAACGC